rnacentral:rRNA from 1 species
AUCAGCCUUUCGGGUGCGAUUCUGUGGAGUGUGAGGAGCUUAACACCUUCAUGCUCUGCAUAUUCGUGCUCUUGGGUGUACUUGCCCGUGUGGUUGGUUAACAUCAAUUUUGGUGGUCAUAAAAUGACUGGAGGAAUGUAGCUUCGAUCUUGUAUUGAAGUGUUAUAGCCUUCGGUAGAUGUGAUGAUCGAGAUUGAGGAUUGCAACGGAUACCCUUCGGGGCUACCUGUCUGAUCUCUGAUCGUUGCUCUGGUGCCGAAAGCUUGCUUACGGUUAUCAAAGUCGAUGGUCAAUAGGUUAGAAUGGGUUAAAUUCGUUAAGGAUGUUGACGUAAUGGCUUU